GUGGUGAUUUUUCGGGUGAGGGAGAUGGUGGCGGCGGUGACUCUUUGGGUGAUGGUGGGGGUGGGGAUUCCUUGGGUGAUUCUUUGGGUGAUGGAGAUGGUGGUGAUUUGACAAUGGGCGAAGGAGAUGAAGAUGGUGGUGGAGUUUUAUAUGUUGGAAAUGGUGGGAAAGUAGGUAGAGGUGGGGGCUUGAAAUGAGGCGGAAAAUUAGGAUGUUUAUGAUGUGGUGGAGGCUUGAAGGUAAAUGGAGAUGGUGGGGAUUCUAUCGGAGGAACUGAUCCUGGUGGUGGCGGUGGACAUGUGUUAAUAUAAUGAGGUGGACCCGAGUAUGACGGUGGUGAUGGAGUUGGUGAGGGGGAACUUUUCGGGGGAGAUUUAUAGACGUAAGGUGAUGGUGAAGGUGAGGGAGAUGGUUGUUCUUUGGAUGGAGAUGGGGGAGAUUUGUAGACGUAAGGCGAUGGAGGAGAUUCAGUUGGGGGUGUUGAUGGUGAACUUGAUGGAGGGGGUUUGUAGGUGAAGGGCGAUGGAGGAGUUUCGGGGGAAGAUGAUGUUGGAGGAGGUGUUAGGCAUGCAUUGAUCGGAGGUGAUGGUGGAGGAGGAGGUGUUAGGCAUGCAUUGAUCGGAGGUGAUGGUGAUGGUGAAGUUGAUGGCGGAGACUUAUAGACGUAAGGAG
rnacentral:lncRNA from 1 species